rnacentral:rRNA from 1 species
UACGAAGGGGGCUAGCGUUGCUCGGAAUCACUGGGCGUAAAGGGUGCGUAGGCGGGUCUUUAAGUCAGGGGGGAAAUCCUGGAGCUCAACUCCAGAACUGCCUUUGAUACUGAGGAUCUUGAGUUCGGGAGAGGUGAGUGGAACUGCGAGUGUAGAGGUGAAAUUCGUAGAUAUUCGCAAGAACACCAGUGGCGAAGGCGGCUCACUGGCCCGAUACUGAUGCUGAGGCACGAAAGCGUGGGGAGCAAACAGG